rnacentral:lncRNA from 1 species
CUGAAAAACCAACUGCAAUUUUCAGAGCCUUGGAGGGAGAUUUUUGGCUAUUCACUGAAACCUUGAUCCCCAUUUUUUGCUGACAAAAAAAAAAAAAAAAAAAAAAAAAAGAGAGGAAGCAUACAUAUUUUUAUCAGAUAGUUUAUUCUUCUAUAAUUUCCUUUUUCUUGAAGAAAGAGAUAGCAAAAAAGGGUAGAGAAAAAAAAAAAAGAAACAGAAAAUUGUAGAGCUUGCAGACUAUUAAUAAGUACCUUCAUGUUGUUUGUUUGUUGGAGACGAAGAAUUAUGAAGUGGAGAAAGAGAAUUCCUCUGGAUUUAUUGGUAAUACAUGGAUGUUGGAUUGCUGGUGAUGUAGCUGUUAUUAUAUACACAAGGGCAC